rnacentral:rRNA from 1 species
CAGCCGCCGCGGGAAUACGUAGGGUGCGAGCGUUGUCCGGAAUUAUUGGGCGUAAAGAGCUUGUAGGCGGUCUGUCGCGUCUGCUGUGAAAACCCGAGGCUCAACCUCGGGCCUGCAGUGGGUACGGGCAGACUAGAGUGCGGUAGGGGAGAACGGAACUCCUGGUGUAGCGGUGGAAUGCGCAGAUAUCAGGAAGAACACCGAUGGCGAAGGCAGUUCUCUGGGCCGUAACUGACGCUGAGAAGCGAAAGCGUGGGGAGCGAACAGGAUUAGAUACCCGCGUAGUCCCUGUCUCUUAUAA